UGUAAAAUGCUAGUGAAUUUGGUAUACAAAUUUGCACCUGUUUCCAGUUGUUAGCAGUUGUAUAUGUAUAAGUCAUAUUUGUGAUGAUAGUGUGAGCAUUGUUCUAUGUAUUUCCUUAAUUCCUGAUUACUAGUUAUAUGGAGGCCGAUUUAUUAAACUAGCCCAGAAUGAGACUGUAUCCACCCAUCCCAAUUCCUUACCUUAGAUCUGUGUUAUGUGCAAUAAUAAUUUGUAAUCAGAAAUAAGUUAAAAUUUUUAAUGAUUUUAUUAUUUACAUGCAGGCAGGGUUUUUACUGACCAAAAGAAAG